rnacentral:lncRNA from 1 species
UAAAAUUAAAAUCAUCAAUACACAAUAUUUAAUACGAAAUACUUUUUAAAUUGUGUUCAUAAAUAUUUAUACACAAUCACCAAAAUACAUGGAAGCCAUAACUAAUAUAACAUUGUUCUUGAAACUAAUACUACUAACAUUGUUUUUUUUAUCAAAAAAGCAUUGUUCUUGAAAUUAAGUGUAUACGACUAAACACUCAAAACAACCAUAACUAAAUAUAUGUAUCAAGUAGUGGGUGGUGGAGGCGGAGGUGCAUCCGAAUGUGGAGGUAGAUGACUCAAAGAAAACUUCUCCAUAAAUUGAAAUAAUUGCUCCCUAAGCAAAUGCGAAUCUUCCUGGGAUUGAUGAAUCAACUCCUCAUGAGUCUUCAAUUUCUCUUUAAGAGUCAUAUUUUCAGCAGACAAAUCAGAAAUUAUAGUCCUCAUGUGUUGAUAUUCAGAUGAUGAGAUACCAUCAUAAGUGGAAGAUCUAGAUCGCUUGUACCUCGCUUGUCCCUCACAAACUUUAUAAUUCAAAUUGUUUAAUAAAAUUAACAUCCAUCACUUGAGAAAGAAUAAAUCAUGGUACAAAUUUUCCACCUUUAUGACGGAUUCUGUGACGGAAUAUUUAUGAGGGAAACAAAUUGUCACAAAUUCCGUCACUAACAUUAAGAAAUUUGAUUUAAAAAAAAACAUGAUUUUCCAUCACUAAAAAUAAAAAUUCCGUGGCAAUUUGUGAGGGAUUUGUUUCCCUCCCUAAAUUCCCUCACUAAUUCGCGAAUUUCUAGUAGUG